rnacentral:rRNA from 1 species
AGCAGCAGUAGGGAUCUUCCACAAUGGACGAAAGUCUGAUGGAGCAACGCCGCGUGAGUGAAGAAGGGUUUCGGCUCGUAAAACUCUGUUGUUAAAGAAGAACAUAUCUGAGAGUAACUGUUCAGGUAUUGACGGUAUUUAACCAGAAAGCCACGGCUAACUACGUGCCAGCAGCCGCGGUAAUACGUAGGUGGCAAGCGUUGUCCGGAUUUAUUGGGCGUAAAGCGAGCGCAGGCGGUUUUUUAAGUCUGAUGUGAAAGCCUUCGGCUCAACCGAAGAAGUGCAUCGGAAACUGGGAAACUUGAGUGCAGAAGAGGACAGUGGAACUCCAUGUGUAGCGGUGAAAUGCGUAGAUAUAUGGAAGAACACCAGUGGCGAAGGCGGCUGUCUGGUCUGUAACUGACGCUGAGGCUCGAAAGUAUGGGUAGCAAACAGGAUUAGAUACCCUGGUAGUCCAUACCGUAAACGAUGAAUGCUAAGUGUUGGAGGGUUUCCGCCCUUCAGUGCUGCAGCUAACGCAUUAAGCAUUCCGCCUGGGGAGUACGGCCGCAAGGCUGAAACUCAAAGGAAUUGACGGGGGCCCGCACAAGCGGUGGAGCAUGUGGUUUAAUUCGAAGCUACGCGAAGAACCUUACCAGGUCUUGACAUACUAUGCAAAUCUAAGAGAUUAGACGUUCCCUUCGGGGACAUGGAUACAGGUGGUGCAUGGUUGUCGUCAGCUCGUGUCGUGAGAUGUUGGGUUAAGUCCCGCAACGAGCGCAACCCUUAUUAUCAGUUGCCAGCAUUAAGUUGGGCACUCUGGUGAGACUGCCG